GUUGGGGGUCAGCCAGUGAGCAGAAAAAUAUGAACCAUAUGUGCCAUGCUGCAGUUACAAAACCACAUGAAACACAAAGAGGCAGGGGUGAGAAGCGGGAGCAGGGCACCGGUUCAAGCUGGAUAUGUCCAGAGUGAAACAUACAGCGAAAGGUGGCCUGCGCUUAAACACCAAACGACCACCCCAAAGUCACCCUGUGGUCCCACCCAAGCUGUGGUUCGGUGGCAUCUCAGAAAAGUAGAUCCAGUCACGGCGAAAUGUAUGCGGAGCAGCUCAGGCUUAUGCUAGGAAAUUAACUCCAGAGUUUAAACUUGAACUGUUAAUGUCUUAGGCCCGGCUUUUAAGUAUGCAAGGAAUUUAAACAAAAGAGGAAAAUAGGACUGGAGGCACAAAAAAAAGUCAAACCAAGCCAUACUGCCUUGUGUGCUUUGGCAGAGUAAGAAUCUUUUUUUCUUUCUUUUUGGAGUGUGAGAUGAAGAAAGAGGUAAAGGGGUGGGAGUGUGGUGUUUAUUGGUUUCUGCCAAGCCAGUCAGAGAAGCAAACACAAGUAGGGUGAAACCCGAUCAGAUGACACCAUGCCUGAACCGGUGGCGGCACAGUGAGAAUUCAGGGGGAAAACACUGAUAAACACACAAGGACGGGACAAACGACUUAAAAUCAUCAUUAGAUGAGCAGCCCAGAUAUAACAAUUUAGAGUAAAACCCAAAUUUGUCUGAGCACGUUUUAUGAAACGGGCACAAGGAAGUAGGAAAGUGGAUUUUUUUUUUUUUUUUUUUUGUCAAAGUUUGAUCAAGGAUGACUUUUAACCGUCUCCUCGGAUGCAGGGGAAAUUUUCCAAUUGAAGUCUACUAAUCCAUCCUCUUGAUCCCACUCUGCUCCUCCACUACCACCACCACCCUUCCACGCACACACACACACACACACACAUAUUCUGGCCCAGGAGGAAAAUCCCUCUGUGGCCAGGCAUUUCUUUUAAACUUGAUAUGCUUGUGAAUCACCCCUAGUGCUGCAGUGCUGGUCCACUAAUGAACACAGGGCCCACAGACUGAGCAGUCCAUGCCCUGCUACGCUCCCAGAUCGCAGUGGAAAACAGGAUCCAGCUGCCCAGCACCCUGUCAUUAUUAUAAAAAAAAAGCUUCCAGAGCACCCUCUGUUUGCCCCUCGACCUGUCUCAUACCCUGACCACAUCUCACCAAUCAUGGCCCUUGCUGCAAAC
ensembl:lncRNA